UACGUAGGGUGCGAGCGUUAAUCGGAAUUACUGGGCGUAAAGCGUGCGCAGGCGGUUGUGCAAGUCAGAUGUGAAAUCCCCGGGCUUAACCUGGGAACUGCAUUUGUGACUGCACGGCUAGAGUGUGGCAGAGGGGGGUAGAAUUCCACGUGUAGCAGUGAAAUGCGUAGAUAUGUGGAGGAAUACCGGUGGCGAAGGCAGCCCCCUGGGAUAACACUGACGCUCAGGCACGAAAGCGUGGGGAGCAAACAGG
rnacentral:rRNA from 1 species